rnacentral:rRNA from 1 species
GCCAUGCAUGUCUAAGUAUAAACUAAUUUAUACGGUGAAACUGCGAUGGCUCAUUAAAUCAGUUAUAGUUUAUUUGAUAUUAACUUACUACUUGGAUAACCGUGGUAAUUCUGCAGCUAAUACAUGCGUUAAACCCCGACUUCUGGAAGGGGCGUACUUAUUAGAUUUAAGCCAACCCUAGCAAUAGGAUUAAGGUUGAUUCAUGAUAAUUUUUCGAAUCGUAUGACUUUGUGUCGACGAUGGUUCAUUCAAAUUUCUGCCCUAUCAACUUUCGAUUGUAGUGUAUUGGACUACAAUGGUUUCAACGGGUAACGGAGAAUUAGGGUUCGAUUCCGGAGAGGGAGCCUGAGAAACGGCUACCGCAUCCAAGGAAGGCAGCAGGCGCGCAAAUUACCCAAUCCUGAUACAGGGAGGUAGUGACAAUAAAUAACAAUACAGAACUUUCGAGUUUUGUAAUUGGAAUGAGAACAAUUUAAAUCCCUUAACGAGGAACAAUUGGAGGGCAAGUCUGGUGCCAGCAGCCGCGGUAAUUCCAGCUCCAAUAGCGUAUAUUCAAGUUGUUGCAGUUAAAAAGCGCGUAGUUGAAUUUUGGCGCUGAUUGUGCGGUUUGGACUCACGUUCAAUACUGUAUGAUUGGGGCUUUCCUUCUAGGGAACUGAUGUGCUAUUAAUUUAGUGGGUCAGGGAUCUAGGACUGUUACUUUGAAAAAAUUAGAGUGUUUAAAACAGGCUUAUGCUUGAAUACAUUAGCAUGGAAUAACGGAAUAGGACUUUGUCUUAUUUUGUUGGUUUAGGAGACAAAGUAAUGAUUAAUAGGGACGAUUAGGGUCAUUAGUA